UGACCUCCUAUCUGAAGCUAUAAGGCAGAUUUAAUGACGCAUAUUUGCACCUAGUCAAUACUUCUUCUUCUCCAUCGCUCCCUCAUUACUGAGGAUCGUGACUCCGUUUCAGCUUGUCGACUGCCAGCCUCCAUCGGUUCCGCGACCCGCCCUCGCUUCGCUUCGGAAACAUUAAAACACAAAUGAAACCAAAAAAAAAAUAUUUAAAAAAAGUAGCCUAUGUUCAUCAGGGACAAUGUCGGCUUCUAAUGGCAAAAGAAUUUUUCAAAUCGGUCCAGUAGUUUCGGAGCCUAUUCGAAACAAACAAACAAACAAAUCUUUCCUCUUUAUAAUAUUAUUAAAUGCAGCAGAAACUUCAAAUCUAAAACUAAAAGAAAACUAAAAGUAUCGGCGCGUGUUCAAUCUCGAACCUGAGACAUCCUAAGAUAAAAGCCACAAAAUACUGAGCCACAGACGCAAUUAUACCCAGAACACUCCAGACACUUAAUCAAGUUAACAGUGUUUAGUGCUUCAAGUUAUUGCAUUGGAAGUUAUUCCGGAAAGACCAGAAAUUAUAUACACUAAUGAAAAUUAUGUCAAAAAUGUGAAGGCUUCUGUGAGGAGACCAUCUAGAAACUCAAAAUACGUAUUGAACAUUGAUUUGGUAACUUUACAACAGUGGAACAAAAAUGUUACUUUUCACUUUAAUAUAUACGAGAACUUGCACAACGAGUACAAAAUUAGCUUCGUAAAUAUCCCAGAUAUGAAUUUCUGUGAGGUAAUAAAAUUUCAAUUAUUCCAAAAAACCUUAGAGAACACAAUGGUGAAGUGUCCUCUGCCUGCGGGACACAUUCAUGUACCAAAUCUAACUCUAGCAAUACCUGAUUUCCCAUACACGUGGCCAUUUGAGAAAUGCAAAGCUCGACUUACGGUUAAAGCACCUAAAGGUAUCAUUAUGGUCAUUGGUGACCUGUACCAUUCUUUGAAGCAAACUACCAAAAAGAAGCCAUAAUGUAAUACAUAGAAUCAAAUAUGUAUUACCAGCAAACCACUUACGUACCGAACAUUGAAAGUGCUUUAUAUCGCAAAACAAAUGUAUCUUGUUUGCACAUAAUACGAACUGGGACACUAAUUUCUUUUAUUUUUAUGUUUCAUUUUAAGUGCCCGUGGUCUCGAGCGAUGCGACCAGUUCGGGGCUUGUCAAUAGUUUUUUAAACAAACUACGCUCCUGUAAAGUGUAAUAAACCAACACCGCAACUUAUCAAUCCUUUAUUUAAACACCAUACAAAUAUCUAAAUUAAUGCACCAAAUUUAAUGUAACGUUGGAACAGUUUUAUGUGUUCCAGAAAACGCGAUAAAAGCAAGGACGCUUCAUGACAGGUGAUUAUUUGACGGUUGACGUUAAGCUCCAUUUUGGCGCAUUCAUUAUAUAUAAAUAAAUAAAAUAAAAAUAUAAAAA